UCGCCCUUAGAGUUUGAUCCUGGCUCAAGACGAACGCUGGCGGCGCGCCUAACACAUGCAAGUCGAACGAGCGAGAGAGAGCUUGCUUUCUCGAGCGAGUGGCGAACGGGUGAGUAACGCGUGAGGAACCUGCCUCAAAGAGGGGGACAACAGUUGGAAACGACUGCUAAUACCGCAUAAGCCCACGGGGUCGGCAUCGACCAGAGGGAAAAGGAGCAAUCCGCUUUGAGAUGGCCUCGCGUCCGAUUAGCUAGUUGGUGAGGUAACGGCCCACCAAGGCGACGAUCGGUAGCCGGACUGAGAGGUUGAACGGCCACAUUGGGACUGAGACACGGCCCAGACUCCUACGGGAGGCAGCAGUGGGGAAUAUUGCACAAUGGGGGAAACCCUGAUGCAGCGACGCCGCGUGGAGGAAGAAGGUCUUCGGAUUGUAAACUCCUGUUGUUGGGGAAGAUAAUGACGGUACCCAACAAGGAAGUGACGGCUAACUACGUGCCAGCAGCCGCGGUAAAACGUAGGUCACAAGCGUUGUCCGGAAUUACUGGGUGUAAAGGGAGCGCAGGCGGGAAGACAAGUUGGAAGUGAAAUCUAUGGGCUCAACCCAUAAACUGCUUUCAAAACUGUUUUUCUUGAGUAGUGCAGAGGUAGGCGGAAUUCCCGGUGUAGCGGUGGAAUGCGUAGAUAUCGGGAGGAACACCAGUGGCGAAGGCGGCCUACUGGGCACCAACUGACGCUGAGGCUCGAAAGUGUGGGUAGCAAACAGGAUUAGAUACCCCGGUAGUCCACACCGUAAACGAUGAUUACUAGGUGUUGGAGGAUUGACCCCUUCAGUGCCGCAGUUAACACAAUAAGUAAUCCACCUGGGGAGUACGACCGCAAGGUUGAAACUCAAAGGAAUUGACGGGGGCCCGCACAAGCAGUGGAGUAUGUGGUUUAAUUCGACGCAACGCGAAGAACCUUACCAAGUCUUGACAUCCCUUGACAGGCAUAGAAAUAUGUAUUCUCUUCGGAACACCGGUGACAGGUGGUGCAUGGUUGUCGUCAGUUCGUGUCGUGAGAUGUUGGGUUAAGUCCCGCAACGAGCGCAACCCUUAUCCCCAGUAGCCAGCAUUUUGGAUGGGCACUCUGAGGAGACUGCCAGGGAUAACCUGGAGGAAGGUGGGGAUGACGUCAAAUCAUCAUGCCCCUUAUGACUUGGGCUACACACGUGCUACAAUGGCGUAAACAAAGGGAAGCGAGACCGUGAGGUGGAGCAAAUCCCAAAAAUAACGUCUCAGUUCGGACUGUAGUCUGCAACCCGACUACACGAAGCUGGAAUCGCUAGUAAUCGCAGAUCAGAAUGCUGCGGUGAAUACGUUCCCGGGUCUUGCACA
rnacentral:rRNA from 1 species